GUAGGGUGAGAAUCCCUGCCACGUUUUUGGUCAGUUUCGCCGGGGCUCAUGUCUUUCCUCGAGGGAGCAUUAGUGUCUACAGAAAAACUGACAAAUCCUAGCGAAGUCCAAUCCUAACCACAUCUUCCAUCAGAGGUGGUGCUUGGUCAGCUGGUUACUGAACGGAUUGGCCUGGAGAAUGGCAUAGUCCUGUUACUCUCAAGUUAACCAUAGAGGGGGACAGGCGCUGUUCGCUCACGGCUGGUUCUUGGAGCCAACACCCUCAGCCCCACAUAAGUGGGAGCACUGUCGGUGGUGGCUCACCCAGAUAACGGACAGUGUCUCUCCUUCUUUCUUCUUGGACUUGCAUUGUUGCUGGCGAGUCAGCCAGUAGCAAUGCAGCAUCUCACUCACUCAAUCACCUCAGCAAUUCGGUCCUUUUUUUCAUUUGCAUUACCUUCGCUCAUUCUCCUGUCAUAAUGCAUUCUCUGCUACCAUAAGCCUUUCUUACCACGGUGUAACGCAUGUUACACCUUGCGUCUUUCUCUAACACCAUCAUCAUUUCAGCAACCUUGGAAUUUCAACCCUACACAGGUACACAGCACUAUGGAUAUCCACUCUCCACUCUACGGCGAACACAAAGCUAGAGAUCUAAUUAGGAUUCGAGUACCCCGGCUACCCUUGUGACAUACAUAUGUGGAAACCAGUUUAAGCAGCAGUACAUCAACACAAUGGAUCAGCACUACGAAAUCUGAUAUCUGCAUCAUACUACUCCGAUCCAGAAAUCUUCGCUAAACCAUCACAUGAGAUGAAUAACUACAAAUUGACGACUUGACACAGAUAUUCAUCAGACAACCUAAAUAAAGGACUCCCACUCUCCAAACCAGUAGAGAUCCAAUCACUGCCUCCAGGGUACCCCUUCAUCCGGUAUUAGCAGUUCCUCCACCACCACCAGGUUGAUCUGAUUAGUAAACUCAAGGAAGAUGAUACCAGAUCAGUCCCGAACUUCGCCUCAGCAUCAUACUCUGCCUAGUGUCGAUAAAGAGGAUUCACAAACAAUCGAGAUUCACUUACAAAUAUUUGCUAUUACUUUUUACAAUUGCAGUUA